UCCCUUGUGGCUCAGCAGGUAAAGAAUCUGCCUGCAAUGCAGGAGACCUGGGUUCGAUCCCUGGGUGGGGAA
rnacentral:tRNA from 1 species